GCGCAUGUCGCGGCGCAGGCGCAAUUGAUUUUUCUUGACUUCCGCUGGCUCCAGGGGCUAUAAAUACCGAUUCCGUGCGAUUCUAGGGUCUUUUCGGGAGAGACUCUCGUCCUACGCCCUUGUAUCUAGCAUUUCGUUUGGGAUUCCAAAUACAGCUGGAUUUGAGGUGAGUGGAUCUACGAAUUGCUUUUGGCCUGUCGGUGUUUGCUUUUUUUUUUGGUUCCACGAAAUUGAUUUUCACAUCUCAUGAUGGAGAAAAUUUUUAUAUUGCAAAUGGGAUAAUUUUGACAAAAUGAUUUAACCAAAGUCAGCAAAGUUUCGUGCGUGAGCUGUGUAAUGGGUGUAUCUGCUCAGUCCGGGAGAACUAAGGAUUCGGGUCUGUGAUAUUAGAAGUGAAAUUGGGCAUAUGUUCCAGCAUACUUAGGAAAGUAACUAAUAGAUAAAGCCUAAAAUAGUCAACAGCUAACAAGAACUUGAAAUUUGUGAGAAGCAGUUGAUAAUCUUGUGGAGUUUGACUUGGUUCAAGUAUAGGUGGUGCAUGAGAUGAAGGGAAAUGUAAUGUCUUCAGUAGUGGUACAGUAAUUCUGCUACAUUCCAACCUUUCUGUGAAAAGCGUUGUAGACUUGUUACACCGCGCUACAAUAUAGCCGAUUCCAUGGAGCUUACAGUACUGUAUAGCCCAUUGUUUUAGCCGAGUGCCUAGGCUAACUUCAGUUUAAUAUUUUGAUGCUGUUCAGAUAUUCCAACGUGGAUACCCCAGGAGGUCACUCUCCCUGGGCUCUGUCCAGGUGGCGUAGGGGAGCAUAGGGCUCAGCCCCGUGAUGUACAGUCCCUUUCCACAACGUUGGAGAUGAAGCUGGGCCUUGAGUCUGCACCUGCAUAUUCCUACAGCUUCUCAGAGUCCUGUGGACAAUGACUGAGGAGACAAACCAUGCAGGAAACAUCCAGUAUACAAAAGUUUUUAAAGCGAACUAAGUCUGUACAAAUGAAUCUAAUCCUUUUUUCUUUUUAUGUCAUUUUCAGGAGAGAAGAGGAGCCUCACCAAUUUCUCAGUUAGCAAAGCUUUGGAGUCUUUCUUUAACAGGGAGAUUAGUAAAAUAAAACUUAAUUCUCCAGCCAAGAA